UACGGAGGGGGCAAGCGUUAUUCGGAAUCAUUGGGCGUAAAGGGCGCGUAGGCGGCUUGGCAAGUCAAAGGUGAAAUCCCUCGGCCCAACCGAGGAACUGCCUUUGAAACUGCUUGGCUCGAGGCCGGGAGAGGGUAGCGGAAUUCCCAGUGUAGCGGUGAAAUGCGUAGAUAUUGGGAGGAACACCAGUGGCGAAGGCGGCUACCUGGACCGGUUCUGACGCUGAGGCGCGAAAGCGUGGGGAGCAAAC
rnacentral:rRNA from 1 species